AUUGAACGCUGGCGGCAGGCUUAACACAUGCAAGUCGAGCGGAGAUGAGGUGCUUGCACCUUAUCUUAGCGGCGGACGGGUGAGUAAUGCUUAGGAAUCUGCCUAUUAGUGGGGGACAACAUUCCGAAAGGAAUGCUAAUACCGCAUACGCCCUACGGGGGAAAGCAGGGGAUCUUCGGACCUUGCGCUAAUAGAUGAGCCUAAGUCGGAUUAGCUCGUUGGUGGGGUAAAGGCCUACCAAGGCGACGAUCGGUAGCGGGUCUGAGAGGAUGAUCCGCCACACUGGGACUGAGACACGGCCCAGACUCCUACGGGAGGCAGCAGUGGGGAAUAUUGGACAAUGGGCGGAAGCCUGAUCCAGCCAUGCCGCGUGUGUGAAGAAGGCCUUUUGGUUGUAAAGCACUUUAAGCGAGGAGGAGGCUACCUGGAUUAAUACUCUAGGAUAGUGGACGUUACUCGCAGAAUAAGCACCGGCUAACUCUGUGCCAGCAGCCGCCGUAACAC
rnacentral:rRNA from 1 species